AUUGAACGCUGGCGGCAGGCCUAACACAUGCAAGUCGAGCGCGAAAGUUCUUCGGAAUGAGUAAAGCGGCGGACGGGUGAGUAAUACAUGGGAAUCUGCCUGGUAGUGGGGGACAACGUUUCGAAAGGAACGCUAAUACCGCAUACGCCCUACGGGGGAAAGGGGGGGAUCUUCGGACCUCUCGCUAUCAGGUGAGCCCA
rnacentral:rRNA from 1 species